UCUAUGCUUCAGUUUCCCAGGUAUAAAACUGGUAUAAUGAUGCACAUUCCUUGACAUGCAUCAAAGAAAAGCACUCUGUAAAAGUUGGUCUGUUGACUGUUACCUAGCCACAACAGCAUAUCAACUGCAAACCUCAGUUAGAACUACAAUGGCCUAAAUGACCACUAAUUCCUACCAAAAAAAAAAUCUGUUUAAAAAGCUAGGAAAUUAAAUAGCAAAGAACUUAAUGUAGAGUUAAGAUUGCCCAAUAAUAGCUUAUGCUAUUCCAGAAUAUGGAUUUCAGCAAAACUCAAAGUUCUGAAAACGCUAUGGCAAACAUCCAAAGAACCUUAACGCUGAUCACUCUGGUCCAAAACACUAAGGCCUGGUCUACACUAUAGUGUUACGUUGAUGGAAGGCAGUUUAUAUGACCUAAUUACAUCAGUGUCUACAUUACAUCCUUGCCCCAUUGAUAGCUCUAGCUGCAUACCUCCUGAAUGAUCAAAAGUUCAAUAUGAAGAGCUUCCAUCAUUCUUUCAAGGUGAGGCUGUGCCGCUGAUGGCCAUCCAGCUGUAGACUUCAGCAUUUCACCUAUUGCUGCGGAAAUCCUGGAUGUACAAAUCCUCACCCCUAACUUCGAUGAGAUCCAGGAUCUCCGCGCCAGUCCAAGCCUCUAACCAGGGGCUUUUGAGGUGGCUAUAGCUUUUAUUGUGACAGGAAGCAUCUAAACUUCAUGAACAACUCUGUAGCCCCAUCAUCAUCUCCUCUGCUACUCCCACCAACCAUCUUUCCACCUGAAGAAUUCCUAUUCUGAAAAUGGUAGUCUAUUCUCGCUACAUUAAACUAUUAAUAUUGCUUAAUUGUGCGUUCUUGUUGGAGAGUCCUAGGAGGAAUCUGUACAAUUCCUUCCAUGCUACAGGAAAAAAAAAAGAAAAAAGAAAAAAUUGCUUUUCCAUGGCUGCCUAAACUCUGAGAACACAAGUUAAAUGUUCAGCAUAAAGUGGAAGGGAGGAGAAUGGGGCAAAAGAGAGGAUGAAACAUUCCAGCCUCAAAGGAAAAAGAGGGAAGAAUUACAUUUGUUUCUUUCUUCUCAAAAUGGUAUCUGAUUUAAGACUGAAAGAAUUACAUCCACGUUCUUGCUUUAUCUCCCUGCUUCCUUUUCUGUUCAUCUUUUUGUUCCAUAGCGGUUUUUUUUUCCAAUUAGGCCUUGGCCAGAAAAAAAAAGGAGUAUAAGCCUGACAUGCUUGAUAUUGCUUCUGUGAGAGGCGGGAGCAAAACUAUGGAGCAGAAGGAAGGAACAACAAAAGGAAGGAAACUGGGCACAAGACUUCCUUAUCCAGAUUAUGGCAGAUACUUUCAAAAGAGUUUAAGGGACACUGGCGGAUCCAAAAUCCCACUGAAAUGCAAAUCCUUUAAGCUCCUCUGAAUUAGGGAUGUUAGCAGCUAGCCAGGUAAGCAAUAGCUUAUUAGUUAAAUGCUUAUCAGUUAAUGGUCCCGGUUAACCGCAACAACCCCCCUCUCUCGCGUAUUCUGCAUUUAAAUCUUGGACUGUCAGGUUGGCUCAGUCCCAACCCACCAGUUCUUAAAACUAAGAGCAUACAGGGGAGUCAUCUGCCACCCUGCAGAACCUUACUAUAAACAAUUUAAAUGAAUUAAUGUAAUCUAAAACAAAGCCGUUAAGCACACGUUGAAUCUCUCUAGCCCAGCAACAUCUGGGGUCCAGAAUGAUUUUAGUUAGCUGGAUGUCCACUUAUCCUGAGUGUAGCCAAGUUUCCCCACAGUCCUAUAAAGUUUGUUUACAGCCACCAGUCCUGGAUCUUAGUGUGUUUUGGUGUUAUUUAGCUCUAAUUUACCCCUAAACAUCUUCUAAGAGCUCAGUAAGCAGUGGAAGUGUUGGUAAUGCUACUGACCUCUUCUGGUUCGGCAAAUUCUCUGGCUCAGCAGCAGCCAGGUCCCGAGGGUGCUGGACUAGAGAGGAUCAACCUGUAGUACUAUUCAUCACAGUAAAUAUACAGUAACGUUAUCAACUAUGUGUACACAGAUAGCAUACAGGCAAUAAGGUGGCUCCACUUUCUUUACGUUUCAUUUUACUUGCAAUUUCACCACAAAAUAGAUACAUAUACUGUUUUGACAAAUUAUAUAAAUUGAGUGGAUCUGUUCCAUUUUUUAAAAAGCUGCUUCUCCAAGAGAAGGAAAGGAAACUAGAGGCACCUAGAAAGGCUACUCAACUAGAGCUGUGGCUCAAAAGGAAGCAUGGUGUGCAACCAUCUUGCAGGUGGCCUACUGGCUUGUCCCCCUCCUCAUCCCACAGCAGGGAGCCUGCACUGGUGCUCCAGUCUCAAGCUCUGCAUGGCUUCCCACUGCGGAAGGGCGGGAGCCUCAAGUCUCGCAGGACAGAUCUGGCUCACAGGGCAAGGAAGCUGUUCCACGUGCUACUGCUCCCACUCCCUCCUGGCUGGGAGAAUGGCAUCACAGGAAACCACCUGUCUGGAGGUUGUCCCCACUGCUCCCAUUAGCAAGAACUGCACAUCCAGACACCGCACCGCCAUCGCCCUCACCCCACCUCCCUUCUAGUCUCCCUACCCUCGGACUGCUCUCUCCUGCACCCUCCAUCCCAUGCAGACCUUGCACCCUCCACAUGCGCCCCACAUCCUGCUCAAAUCCCCUAUCCUAAGCCCGCUCCUGUACCCAACUCCCCAUCCAUACCCCAUCCUCCACUCCACCUCUUGUCCAGACCCUGCACUCCAAUCCUGACCCUACUUCCUGGCAGCCUCCUAUUGCACACUAAACCCCUCAUUUUUGGCAACACCUCAAAGUCUAGGGGACCCACAAAAAUCUACUAGUCAUGAGACCUCAGAAGAGUUAAUCUGGCCUGUGGGAAGCCCUGAACCUUAGUCCUCCCUCCCUCCCCACCCCGUGGGGCGGGAGCAUGAGGGGAGUGACGUGUCUUAAUUGGAGGCCAGACCAGUGAGGGAUGGGGGUGUUUUUUUUGGGGGGGAUUGUUUUGUUUUUCUGUUUUUCACUUGUGUGGCCACCAACUGAUUUUUCUGUGGGUCAGUGGCCCCUCACCUAAAAAAGGUUCACCCAACCAUGUCAUAUAGACAAUGUUGAAAUUUUGUUUUAGACAGAAAUAAAUAUUUUACUUUAUUUUAAAAGUUUGGUAAACUAACAUGAUAAAGUUAAAGCACUUAAUCUGGCUAAUGAUUUUUGAUUAAUAAUAUUUCCUCUCUUACCGGCUGUAUAUGCCCCCUUAUAUAAUAGCUGCGUAUUUAUGUUUUUAUGCUCAAAUAUCAUAAUAUGAAUAAUUUAGUAUUUAAGGUAUUUAGAGAUAAGGAAAUGCUUUUUUUCAUCCUGGUGGGUUGGCUUGUGGUCCAUGGAAAGAUUUGUGAUAAACAGGGUGAUCUGUGGGCCAAAAAGUUUGAGAAUCACUAAACUAGAGGGAACAGUGUCCUAUUCUAUAUUAUAACUCUUGAUUUUUUUCUGUACCACUUGCUAUUUAACCUUUGCUUAAGUAAAGGCUUAUUCACUACUUCCUACCUUACUCUGCUUUAUUUUAUCUUGCGGUGAGACUAAUGUUGAAUUUCUCGCUUACUCAUUUUUAUUCAAUGCAUUGUGCUGCCAAAAUACUGGAUAAUGGUUUAAUGGCAGAAGUAACUGUAGAUCCCCUACCUGAAAAAAGUAACAUGUUUCCCUAAGCCUCUCUCAAACCAAAUUAUAUUUGGUAGUACAUUGCUGUGAAACAAUACAGCCAGCCCAUCCUAUUCACGUAACUGGGAAAUGUUAGUUGGCUUAAUUUGCACUGACAACUUAUUUCAAUACUAUCUGUUUUUUAGGUCAAGUAUAGGGUGGUAUUUGAGGAUGGUUUUAAUAUGAACCUUAAACAUAAAGGAACCGAGUCACCUUAUACAAGAUUUCCUCACUAGUGUCCACAUCUGAUACUUCCCUACAAAUAAAUCAGAUUUAGAUUUCUACCAUAACUGCUGGAAUAUAAAGAACUAUGCAAUACUAAACAAAUAUUACAAUUAUAGCACAUUUACUAGGUGCUACUUGCGUCCUUAAGGGGGGGCUCAGGACAAGAGAUAUGGGGGGGAGAGUACAGGAGUCAGGAUGAGGGAGUGAGGAGGGGACUCGGUGUGUAGGGGGAGGGAGGCCUGGGAGGUCAGACUCCCUCGCUCCCCCAGAUUCAAACCAGAGCUGCAUGGUCUUCCCCUUCCUGUCCAUCUCAGGGAGCGAAAACAAAGUACAUAGCUCGUCUACCCCCCUGCACUCACUAGGGUUGCCAGGUGUCUGGCAUUCACACGGAUAGUCCGGUAU